rnacentral:rRNA from 1 species
GGCCAGACUCCUACGGGAGGCAGCAGUGGGGGAUAUUGCACAAUGGGGGAAACCCUGAUGCAGCGACGCCGCGUGGGCGAAGAAGUAUUUCGGUAUGUAAAGCCCUAUCAGCAGGGAAGAAGAAAUGACGGUACCUGAGUAAGAAGCACCGGCUAAAUACGUGCCAGCAGCCGCGGUAAUACGUAUGGUGCAAGCGUUAUCCGGAUUUACUGGGUGUAAAGGGAGCGCAGGCGGCACGGCAAGCCUGAUGUGAAAACCCGGGGCCCAACCCCGGGACCGCACCGGAUACUGCCGGACUCGAGUGCCGGAGGGGCAGGCGGAAUUCCUGGUGUAGCGGUGAAAUGCGCAGAUAUCAGGAGGAACACCGGUGGCGAAGGCGGCCUGCUGGACGGUAACUGACGCUGAGGCUCGAAAGCGUGGGGAGCGAACAGGAUUAGAUACCCUUGUAA